CAACAGGGAUUGCCUCAGUAACGGCGAGUGAAGCGGCAACAGCUCAAAUUUGAAAUCUGGCUCUCGGGCCCGAGUUGUAAUUUGUAGAGGAUGCUUUUGGUGAGGUGCCUUCCGAGUUCCCUGGAACGGGACGCCACAGAGGGUGAGAGCCCCGUCUGGUUGGACACCGAGCCUCUGUAAAGCUCCUUCGACGAGUCGAGUAGUUUGGGAAUGCUGCUCUAAAUGGGAGGUAUAUGUCUUCUAAAGCUAAAUACCGGCCAGAGACCGAUAGCGCACAAGUAGAGUGAUCGAAAGAUGAAAAGAACUUUGAAAAGAGAGUUAAACAGUACGUGAAAUUGUUGAAAGGGAAGCGCUUGUGACCAGACUUGGGCUUGGUUGAUCAUCCGGGGUUCUCCCCGGUGCACUCUUCCGGCCCAGGCCAGCAUCAGUUCGCCCUGGGGGACAAAGGCAGCGGGAAUGUGGCUCUCUCCGGGGAGUGUUAUAGCCCGCUGCGUAAUACCCUGCGGCGGACUGAGGUUCGCGCAUUCGCAAGGAU
rnacentral:rRNA from 1 species